rnacentral:hammerhead_ribozyme from 1 species
AUGUCCGCAUAACCCACUGACGAGGCCGGAAGGCCGAAACGCCGCGAGGCGUCUGGGUUUGAGUUUUCA